AGUAGAAGGAAAGUGGCGGACGGGUGAGUAACGCGUGAGGAACCUGCCUUGAAGAGGGGGACAACAGUUGGAAACGACUGCUAAUACCGCAUGAAGCAUAGGGGUCGCAUGAUUCUUAUGCCAAAGAUUUAUCGCUUCAAGAUGGCCUCGCGUCUGAUUAGCUAGUUGGCGGGGUAACGGCCCACCAAGGCGACGAUCAGUAGCCGGACUGAGAGGUUGAACGGCCACAUUGGGACUGAGAUACGGCCCAGACUCCUACGGGAGGCAGCAGUGGGGAAUAUUGGGCAAUGGGCGCAAGCCUGACCCAGCAACGCCGCGUGAAGGAAGAAGGCUUUCGGGUUGUAAACUUCUUUUAAGAGGGAAGAGCAGAAGACGGUACCUCUAGAAUAAGCCACGGCUAACUACGUGCCAGCAGCCGCGGUAAUACGUAGAUGGCAAGCGUUGUCCGGAUUUACUGGGUGUAAAGGGCGUGCAGCCGGGUCUGCAAGUCAGAUGUGAAAUCCAUGGGCUCAACCCAUGAACUGCAUUUGAAACUGUAGAUCUUGAGUGUCGGAGGGGCAAUCGGAAUUCCUAGUGUAGCGGUGAAAUGCGUAGAUAUUAGGAGGAACACCAGUGGCGAAGGCGGAUUGCUGGACGAUAACUGACGGUGAGGCGCGAAAGUGUGGGGAGCAAACAGGAUUAGAUACCCUGGUAGUCCACACUGUAAACGAUGAAUACUAGGUGUGCGGGGACUGACCCCCUGCGUGCCGCAGUAAACACAAUAAGUAUUCCACCUGGGGAGUA
rnacentral:rRNA from 1 species